rnacentral:rRNA from 1 species
AUUGAACGCUGGCGGCAGGCCUAACACAUGCAAGUCGAACGGUAACAGGAAGAAGCUUGCUUCUUUGCUGACGAGUGGCGGACGGGUGAGGAAUGUCUGGGAAACUGCCUGAUGGAGGGGGAUAACUACUGGAAACGGUAGCUAAUACCGCAUAACGUCGCAAGACCAAAGAGGGGGACCUUCGGGCCUCUUGCCAUCGGAUGUGCCCAGAUGGGAUUAGCUAGUAGGUGGGGUAACGGCUCACCUAGGCGACGAUCCCUAGCUGGUCUGAGAGGAUGACCAGCCACACUGGAACUGAAACACGGUCCAGACUCCUACGGGAGGCAGCAGUGGGGAAUAUUGCACAAUGGGCGCAAGCCUGAUGCAGCCAUGCCGCGUGUAUGAAGAAGGCCUUCGGGUUGUAAAGUACUUUCAGCGGGGAGGAAGGGAGUAAAGUUAAUACCUUUGCUCAUUGACGUUACCCGCAGAAGAAGCACCGGCUAACUCCGUG